rnacentral:rRNA from 1 species
GACGAACGCUGGCGGCGUGCUUAACACAUGCAAGUCGAACGCGCCUGUCCUCUGGGUUUCUGGGGGGUGGGUGAGUGGCGCACGGGUGAGUAACACGUGAGUAACCUGCCCCCUUCUUCGGGAUAACGGUCUGAAAGGGCUGCUAAUACCGGGUAUUCACUGGUCUCCGCAUGGGGUCUGGUGGAAAGGUUUUUUUCUGGUGGGGGAUGGGCUCGCGGACUAUCAGCUUGUUGGUGGGGUGAUGGCCCACCAAGGCUUUGACGGGUAGCCGGCCUGAGAGGGUGACCGGUCACAUUGGGACUGAGAUACGGCCCAGACUCCUACGGGAGGCAGCAGUGGGGAAUAUUGCACAAUGGGCGCAAGACUGAUGCAGCGACGCCGCGUGAGGGAUGGAGGCCUUCGGGUUGUGAACCUCUUUCGCCCGUGGUCAAGCCGCGACGUGGGUCGUGGUGAGGGUAGUGGGUAAAGAAGCGCCGGCUAACUACGUG